rnacentral:ribozyme from 1 species
UUUUUUUGUAUGUUCAUGUUUCUUUUUCUAAUUUAUAGUUGUAUAAUGACUGUGAGACUUCGAUAUCUCACUGAUUCUUCUUCUUUUUCAAGAAAAGAAGAGGAGAGGAAAAGAAUUUUUCCCUUUUU